AAAAGGGUGAGCCCAGCACUGAAUCCCAAAGGCUUCGCCUUUAGGGAAAUGUAGUGUUUGAGAGGGCCCUCUUUCCCCUGUGAAAUAGUGGCGAGUCCAAGUCCAUCUUGAACGAGGCCAAGGUCCCGAGAGGGUGCCAGGCCCGUGGAUGGCAGUCGCAUUUUACAGGUGGGCCUCUCUCUAGAGUCAGGUUGCUUGAGAAUGCAGCCCUAAGCAGGUGGUAAACUCCAUCUAAGGCUAAAUCCUACCACGAGACCGAUAGCAAACAAGUACCGUGAGGGAAAGUUGAAAAGAACUUUGAAGAGAGAGUUCAAGAGUACGUGAAACCGCUCAGGGGUAAACGGAAAAGACCCAAACUUCCGACAAGGGAGAUUCACGUCCUUUUGUUAACCCGACAGCCACGCCGCGAGACGGUCCUUCGCCCCGUUCGGUUUUUCCGAUACGGCGGGUGGGACUGCUUGAGGCUGGUUGUACAAGGGCUGCAACGGACCGCACUUCUCCCUGUGUAGGACGUCGCGACUCGUUCCCUGGCGAAUUGACGGACUGCCGUUUGAGUCUGUAUUCGAAACGUUGCAGGUCAAACUGUAACUUUCGGUGCAGCGCGGUAGCUCAUUAUUUGCCAGUGGGACGAUAGCAGAUCAGGUGUAGGGCCGCUCAAAUGCGAGCGCUCCCGGCCUUCCGCAAGUGGGCAAACAGCUGAAAAGCUGUGUCGUCUGCUGUUGGUGGUUGUGUCUAGAGCAGUGCCUGUUUCGUAACUGGUCGGCGACGAAUUGGUUUUGGGCUCUUGUCCGACCCGUCUUGAAACACGGACCAAGAAGUUCAUCGUGUACGCGAGUCUUUGGGUUAUUGAAACCUUUAGAGGCGAAAUGAAAGUAAACGAAAGUUAACUUUCUGAGGGAGGAUGGGCGUAAGCACCUUAUGGGCAGCGCUCCGCACUCCCGGGGCGCUCUGAACUCCAUUGGAGUAGGGGCGCACCUAGAGCGUACGCGAUGAUACCCGAAAGAUGGUGAACUAUGCCUGGCCAGGACGAAGCCAGGGGAAACCCUGGUGGAGGUCUGCAGCGAUUCUGACGUGCAAAUCGAUCGUCGGAGCUAGGUAUAGGGGCGAAAGACCAAUCGAACCAUCUAGUAGCUGGUUCCCUCUGAAGUUUCCCUCAGGAUAGCUAGCGCUCGUGUGCGACGAGUCUCAUCCGGUAGAGCGAAUGAUUAGAGGUAUUGGGGUCGAAACGGCCUCAACCUAUUCUCAAACUCCAAACGGAUGAGAACCCCGGCUUGCUUAAAAGUGAAGCCGCGGGGAGUCAAUCACGGAUCAGAGCGUUAAGUGGGCCAUUUUUGGUAAGCAGAACUGGUGCUGUGGGAUGAACCAAACGCGGAGUUAAGGCGCCUAAAUCGACGCUCACGCGAAACCAUGAAAGGCGUUGGUUGCUUAAGACAGCAGGACGGUGGCCAUGGAAGUCGGAAUCCGCUAAGGAGUGUGUAACAACUCACCUGCCGAAGCAACUAGCCCUGAAAAUGGAUGGCGCUGUAGCCUCGUGCCUAUACUCCGCUGUCAACGGCAAAACGGGCGGCCCUGUAAAAAGGGCGGUGCCGUUAAGCCUUGACAAGUAAGAGGGCCGUGGAGAUGGCGCAGAAGGGUCUGGGCGCGAGCCCACCUGGAGCCGUCUCCGCUGCAGAUCUUGGUGGUAGUAGCAAAUACUCCAGCGAGACCCUGGAGGGCUGAUGUGGAGAAGGUUUUCUUGUGAACAGCUGUUGCACAAGAGUCAGUCGAUCCUAAGUCCUAGGAGAAAUCCGAAACGACAGGUUGCCGUUAUGCAAUUUAGCAAAGCUGGCACCGUCUGGGCGAAAGGGAAUCCGGUUCAUAUUCCGGAACCCGGUCGCGGAACCGUUCCAAAUCGGGCACUCAUUAAGUACUCGUCGGGGUAACCCGAAAAGACCCGGGGACGCCGUAGGGAAAUUCGGGGAGAGUUUUCUCUUCUCUAUAAGCGUUCGAGUUCCCUGGAAACCUCUAGCAGGGAGAUAGGGUUUGGAACGCAAAGAGCACCGCAGUUACGCGGUGUCCGGAUUUUCCCUACGGACCCUGAAAACCCGGGAGAGGGCCACGAGGAACCCCGCGCCGGAUCGUACCCAUAUCCGCAGCAGGUCUCCUAGGUCAAUAGCCUCUAGUCGAUAGAAUAAUGUAGGUAAGGGAAGUCGGCAAAUCCGAUCCGUAACUUCGGAAUAAGGAUUGGCUCUGAGGAUCGUGGCGAGUUGGGCUUGGUCGGGAAGUGGGACGGGUCAACGUGCCGGGCCUGGGCGAGGAAAAGGGUGCUUGCACUCGAAUCCGAGUUCGGUCCCGAGCCUUGGCCACCCACGGAUCUUCCUUGCUGCGAGUUGUUGGUUUCGGCUUUUGGAUUCACAUCUGAUACGCCGUACCAACUGUCUCUUCAGCCGCCAUUCAACGAUCAACUCAGAACUGGCACGGACUAGGGGAAUCCGACUGUCUAAUUAAAACAAAGCAUUGC
rnacentral:rRNA from 1 species